AGCGAACGCUGGCGGCAGGCCUAACACAUGCAAGUCGAACGAAGUCUUCGGACUUAGUGGCGGACGGGUGAGUAACACGUGGGAACGUGCCUUUAGGUUCGGAAUAACUCAGGGAAACUUGUGCUAAUACCGAAUGUGUCCUUCGGGGGAAAGAUUUAUCGCCUUUAGAGCGGCCCGCGUCUGAUUAGCUAGAUGGUGAGGUAAAGGCUCACCAAGGCGACGAUCAGUAGCUGGUCUGAGAGGAUGCUCAGCCACAUUGGGACUGAGACACGGCCCAAACUCCUACGGGAGGCAGCAGUGGGGAAUCUUGCGCAAUGGGCGAAAGCCUGACGCAGCCAUGCCGUGUGAAUGAUGAAGGUCUUAGGAUUGUAAAAUUCUUUCACCGGGGACGAUAAUGACGGUACCCGGAGAAGAAGCCCCGGCUAACUUCGUGCAGCAGCCGCAGUAACAC
rnacentral:rRNA from 1 species